rnacentral:rRNA from 1 species
AUUCCUACGGGAGGCAGCAGUGAGGAAUAUUGGUCAAUGGGGGCAACCCUGAACCAGCGACGCCGCGUGAGGGAUGACGGGGCUUUGCCUUGUAAACCUCUGUCAGAAGGGAAAAGAAGGUUGUUUGGCGACCUGGGCUUGUACCUUCGGAGGAAGCACCGGCUAACUACGUGCCAGCAGCCGCGGUAAUACGUAGGGUGCAAACGUUGUCCGGAAUUACUGGGUGUAAAGGGUGCACAGGCGGUUUUGUGCGUCAGAGGUUAAAUGCCACGGCUCAACUGUGGACCUGCCUUUGAUACGGCAAGACUUGAGUGGAAGAGAGGAUGAUAGAACUCCUGGUGUAGCGGUGAAAUGCGUAGAUAUCAGGAAGAAUACCAUUUGCGAAGGCGGUCAUCCGGCUUUCAACUGACGCUUAAGCACGAAAGCGUGGGUAGCGAACAGGAUUAGAUACCCUGGUAGUCCACGCCCUAAACGAUGCAUGCUUGGUGUUGUGGGUUUUGACCCUCAGUGCCGUAGGUAACCCGUUAAGCAUGCCACCUGGGGAGUACGAUCGCAAGGUUGAAACUCAAAGGAAUUGACGGAAU